rnacentral:rRNA from 1 species
AUUGAACGCUGGCGGCAGGCCUAACACAUGCAAGUCGAGCGUGAAAGUCCUUCGGGAUGAGUAAAGCGGCGGACGGGUGGAGUAACGCGUAGGAAUCUACCUGAUAGUGGGGGAGUAACGUUUCGAAAGGAACGCUAAUACCGCAUACGUUCUGAGGAAGAAAGCAGGGCUCGCAAGACCUUGCGCUAUCAGAUGAGCCUGCGUCCGAUUAGCUAGUUGGUGGGGUAAAGGCCUACCAAGGCGACGAUCGGUAACUGGUCUGAGAGGAUGAUCAGUCACACUGGAACUGAGACACGGUCCAGACUCCUACGGGA